rnacentral:rRNA from 1 species
CCUACGGGAGGCAGCAGUCGAGAAUCAUUCACAAUGGUGGAAACCCUGAUGGUGCGACGCCGCGUGGGGGAAUGAAGUUCUUCGGAUUGUAAACCCCUGUCAUGUGGGAGCAAAUUAAAAAGAUAGUACCACAAUAGGAAGAGACGGGUAACUCUGUUCCAGCAGCCGCGGUAAUACAGCGGUCUCAAGCGUGAUUCGGAAUCCCUGGGCGUAAAGCGUGCGUAGGCUGUUUCGUAAAUCGUGUGUGAAAGGCGCGGGCUCAACCCGCGGACCGCACAUGAUACUGCGAGACUAGAGUAAUGGAGUGGGAACCGGAAUUCGCGGUGUAGCAGUGAAAUGCGUAGAUAUCGAGAGGAACACUCGUGGCGAAGGCGGGUUCCUGGACAUUAACUGACGCUGAGGCACGAAGGCCAGGGGAGCGAAAGGGAUUAGAUACCCUGGUAGUC